AAAUUGUGGGCGUCGGUCGUCACCCCUCCCCUCCGCCGGAAAUCAAGGCCAAAGGAGAUGUCAUGGCUAUGGGCUGAAGCUUUGAGAAAAAAAGAAUGAAAAAUGAAAUGUGAGAUCUUAAACUUUGUACUUUGCCUUAAGUUGUGUCAAACUAGUCAAUAAAGUAACUUAACUACCAAUUUGCCUUAAGUGCCGGGUUGUUGGGAUUUGUUUGCUGUAAUUUGUCUAGGGUUAUGUGUGUUUGUGAUGUGUUGUUAGUGAGUAUGUUGAAUUUUGUGUUCGAGCUUCCAGAUGUGAAGUAUAUAAAAUGUUAUUUGUAAU